AACACCAGAAAAGCCAUAGUUAAGAUCACAAUAGCUCGAUCCGUGCAAUCAUCCAGAGGCAAGUGCACAUGCCUCUGAGACAAAGCAGUUUCAAGUGAAAUAUCCACAAAAAUAUAGAAGGCGCUGGCCAAAUAAACUUCGAUCAAGGCAUACGACACGGAUCGCACUCGAGCACGUGGAACCGACACAACAAAGGCAUAUUCCAAGAGAUUCAUUGCACGCACUCAGCCAUCAAAGGCAUCCCAGCCCAGGAUACAGAGCACACAAUACGUCUCUGGAACAAGUGGUGAACCGAUGCAUGCGUAAGAGUGGCCGAAGGAACAACACACCGUUCGUUAGGAGGUUGCGACACCUGAAGGCCUUCGAAAGAGGGCCUUUUGUGCUAGCCCGACCAGCCACCAUCACUCGACGGAUAAACCACUAAGGAUCGCGAGGAGGGCGAGAGUGCGGCGUGAAAUCCAAGCGGAGGCAAACCACUCGGCUCAGCCACAUCAACGCCAAGACAAAGAGUGCAUUAGUGCAAGCCAUACGGAGACGGCGCGACAUCAUCUGAACGAGGUGGUAGUCGCGCGACAUUCAGACUCGUCACGUCCAAGGGACGCAACAAGCAAAAGUGCAUCGUGUGAACGGCAGCAGUGGAACGUUGUGUCGGGCCAAGUGUUGCGCGAGAAACGUGAGUGUUGCGUUGAGUGCAUCGCGCGCAGGUAGGCAUGGCAGGCUGCAUGGUACCACGUCGUGUGGUGAAGGAGAUGGGGCCCCCACCGUCAUCGUGAGUGUUUAGUUGAUAAGCAAAACGGAAGAAGUUAGGAGGCAGUUUUAGAGUAAUAUGUAGAUACACGAGAUGGUACAAAUUUGCAUUAGUAAACCGUCAUGAAUUGAUACAUCGUAA